UUUUCAUUGCAAUGUUUACCCAUCAGCUUGUGUACAUGGAGUUUUGGUGCUGAAUCAUUGGUAUAAAGACUUGCUUUAAUGUGUACUUGAUUGGAAGACCUGUAAUUCUCUAGCUUCAUUAGGUACCUUGACAGUUGGAUACGUUUUCUUAUUUUGUGAACUGUUUUCUCCCGUUAAACCGCCAUGAGAUCCCUUUUCACUUUUAUACCGGUAUCUUAUCCGAUUUGUUGGCUCUUCUACAAUCCUUAAAUACGGCCCUUUAAUGGAGAGAAAUUGACAAAUUUGUAAUUAUUCUGAUGGUCACUUAGAAGGUUACAAGGAUUUUUUUCGCAAGACACAAUGUGAAGGGAAUUAAAGGAAUAAGGAAGAGCUCCAAUGCCCUGAAUUUUUAUCUUGCUUUCUCUCAUCACGAUCAUCAUGUUUCAUUUCUUCCAUGACUUGUUGGAUUUCUACAAACUUCUAUGCGUUGGUGCUGUUUAUCAU